GACGAACGCUGGCGGCGUGCUUAACACAUGCAAGUCGAACGGAAAGGCCCUGCUUUUGUGGGGUGCUCGAGUGGCGAACGGGUGAGUAACACGUGAGUAACCUGCCCUUGACUUUGGGAUAACUUCAGGAAACUGGGGCUAAUACCGGAUAGGAGCUCCUGCUGCAUGGUGGGGGUUGGAAAGUUUCGGCGGUUGGGGAUGGACUCGCGGCUUAUCAGCUUGUUGGUGGGGUAGUGGCUUACCAAGGCUUUGACGGGUAGCCGGCCUGAGAGGGUGACCGGGCACAAUGGGGCUGAGGUACGGCCCAGAACUCUUAGGGGGGCAAGAGGGGGGGAUAAUGGAACAAGGGGGGGAGGCUGAAGGAGGAACGGCGGGGGGGGGAAGAAGGGCUUUGGGGUUGUAACCCGUUUUGCCUGGGGCGGAGGGGGGGUGAAGGGAAUGGGUAAAGGAGGAACGGGUUAAUAACUG
rnacentral:rRNA from 1 species